CAAGAUUGGGUUGAACAUGCCCUGAUCCAUAAUCAAAGGGAGUCGCUAGCUUGUUCUUAAAUGCAUCUUGAAUUGGCUUGUUUGUGUUGUCCUGUGUAGUUGCUGAAGGAGACACAUAACAAUAGGUUGUGAAGACUUGUGAAUAGAACAGAGAGAGAACACAGAGAUUUAGAAAGAUAACUUGAUGAUCAUUAUUGUCUUAAUUAAUUGUAGAGAGUAGAGAGUGAUGUACAUCAUUACAUAUAUGUAAGCUAUUGUGACUUGUUCAUCAAGUUGUGAUCUUUAGUUACUAACAAUAACAGCCAGCCACUAAUGCUAGCUGCAACUGAUUCCAACUACUUCUAACAACCUCUAAUUACUUUAUCAGUCUUCUUAUAUAUCAGUUGACCUCUUAUCACCAUAUUUCUUUUGAAUAUUUUGGAGAAUUUCUUCCCUGCCUAUACAAUAAUUCAGAAUAUUGGUGGUAUUCAUUAAUUAUUUGUCCUUAAUAAUUACCAUGUGUCUAUUAACUCAAAUUCUAAAAUUAUUUGGAUUUUUUUAUUGAUUUCUGAAAAAUGUGAUUUAGUAGUAGUUAAUAAUUCAAAAAAAAAAAAAUAUAAAGAACCAAAGUAACUCCCAAUAGUUUAUAUAUAACUCUGGGAUAAUUAUAAUAGAGUUUAAAACAUUGGGUAUG